AUUGAACGCUGGCGGCAUGCCUUACACAUGCAAGUCGAACGGCAGCACGGGAGCAAUCCUGGUGGCGAGUGGCGAACGGGUGAGUAAAGUAUCGGAACGUGCCCAGUCGUGGGGGAUAACGUAGCGAAAGUUACGCUAAUACCGCAUACGAUCUAUGGAUGAAAGCGGGGGAUCGCAAGACCUCGCGCGAUUGGAGCGGCCGAUAUCAGAUUAGGUAGUUGGUGGGGUAAAGGCUCACCAAGCCGACGAUCUGUAGCUGGUCUGAGAGGACGACUCGGCACACUGGGACUGAGACACCGCCCAGACUCCUACGGGAGGCAGCAGUGGGGAAUUUUGGACAAUGGGCGAAAGCCUGAUCCAGCCAUGCCGCGUGCAGGAUGAAGGCCUUCGGGUUGUAAACUGCUUUUGUACGGAACGAAAAGGUUUGGGCUAAUAAGCUGAGCUCAUGACGGUACCGUAAGAAUAAGCACCGGCUAACUACGUGCCAGCCGCCGCAGUAA
rnacentral:rRNA from 1 species